AAUCAACGCUGGCGGCGUGCCUCAGACAUGCAAGUCGAACGCGAAAGGUUCCUUCGGGAGCCGAGUAGAGUGGCGCUCGGGUGAGUAACACGUAGGUAAUUUGCCUUUGGGUGGGGAAUAACAGUCGGAAACGGUUGCUAAUACCGCAUAAUGCAGCGGCUCGACAUCGAGACAGUUGUUAAAGCGGGGGAUCCUUCGGGACCUCGCGCCUAAAGAGAAGCCUGCGGCGGAUUAGCAGUUGGUGAGGUAAUGGCUCACCAAGGCGACGAUCCGUAACCGGCCUGAGAGGGCGGACGGUCACACUGACACUUAAAUACGGGUCAGACUCCUACGGGAGGCAGCAGUCGGGAAUUUUGGGCAAUGGGCGAAAAGCCUGACCCAGCAACGCCGCGUGAAGGAU
rnacentral:rRNA from 1 species